rnacentral:rRNA from 1 species
AUUGAACGCUGGCGGCAGGCCUAACACAUGCAAGUCGAACGAGUGGCGGACGGGUGAGUAAUGUCUGGGAAACUGCCCGAUGUAGGGGGAUAACUACUGGAAACAGUAGCUAAUACCGCAUACCAUCGGAUGUGCCCAGUUGGGAUUAGCUAGUAUGUGGGGUAACGGCUCACCUAGGCGACUAUCCCUAGCUGGUCUGAGAGGAUGACAAGCCACACUGGAACUGAGACAAGGUCCAGAAUCAUAGGGGAGGGAGCAGUGGGGAAUAUGGAACAAUGGGCGCAAGCCUGAUGCAGCCAUGCCGAGUGUAUGAAGAAGGCCUUCGGGUUGGAAAGUACUUUAAGCGAGGAGGCGUUACUCGCAGAAGAAGCACCGGCUAACUCCGUGCCAGUAGCCGCGGUAAUUC